CUGAACCUCUCUGCUGCUUGUUGAGUAGUGUUUUAUAGGCUGUGGAGGUGUUUGGAGCUCUUCGGGGUUCAGUGAGUGCGCUGCAGGUAUCUUAGGCUUGAGCAAACAGAGCUCUUAGGCAAGGUGCUUCAGUCUUCGUUUCCGUAAAAAAGGGAGGACACAAUAUGAGAGGAAACUUCUUUUCACCUCUCUACCAGGUGUGAAAGUUGGGGCAUGCUUGAUCUCCAACAUGUAGGGUUGGGACAACCGAUAUAUCCUCUGCUAGAAAUCAAAAUGCCAGUUUCUACCUACUUGAUUCUGGCAUGAACAGUGUAAAAAUAAAGUGUGGCAAGUCAGUGGGGCAGACCAGGAUCCUGGUCCAGUCCUGCUCCAGCGAAGGCGAGGGUGGUGGCGUGGGUGCAGGCUGUGCUCUCCGGAAACAUGGUGUGGCAUGGGUGGUUCCCUUCCUUCAUCCCCUCAUCCCAGCUGACCACAAAUGGCUCCGCCCCAGCAGGCGAGACCUCCCUGGCACCACUGAUGGCCUUGGUAACUCCGUGUGUACACUCUGAGGCCGUGCUCACGUAUCGCAGACCGGAGAACCCUGCCGAAGCCAGGACCUGCGGCUCCAGCAGCACCGCGAUGGCUGGGCUUCACCUGCAUGGAAAUGACCCAAUGCUAUCCAAAAGCAAACCUCUGUUUUGGAAGGAGUAGAUGAUAAAAUCAAGCCAAGCCACUCUCCGUGAUAUUUGCAAAGUCCUGGCAGUCAGGAGAAGUCAUUGGAAGAAGGGGAACGUUGUGCCUGUUUUAAAAAAGGGUAGAAAAGAUGACCCUGAGAACUACCGACCUCUCAGCCUCACCUCUGUGCCUGGGAAGAUCAUGGAACAGAUCCUCCUAGAAGCUAGGAAUAAACCAGAGAGGGGCAGAUUUAGGCCAGACGUUAGGAAGAAUUUCUUCACCAUGGGAGUGGGGAGGCCCUGGCCCAGGUUGCCCAGGGAAGCUGUGGCUGCCCCAUCCCUGGAGGUGUUCAAGGCCAGGUUGGAUGGGCCUCGGGCAGCCUGAUCCAGUGGGAUGUCCCUGCUCAUGGCAGAGGGAUUGGAACUAGAUGAUCUCUAAGGUCCCUUCCAACCCAAACUAUUCUAUGAUCAACUGAAAACCAGUGAAUUCCAAACUGAGGUGUGAGAUGGUCCUGUCCAAAGAUCAAUUGGAGAUGGGAAGAGGGAAGGGCCUGCCUGUCCUGCAGCUUUAGAAUCAAAACACACAAGAGGUGGAGGGGAAGUGGGCUGUAAUUAAUUUACCAGGAUGCUACAGCUCUUGUUUCACUUCACUGCAGUAAUAACUAAAUGAAAAUCCAGAUCAUGAAGAAAUAAGCAGUUCCUAUGUAUCUCGGAGAAGAGCAAGUUUCCCAUUGCUGCAGUUCCAGCAGUUCCUCACUUCACCGGAGGUGGGUGUGAUCAGAGCAGUGCAUGCUCUAAAGGGCACAGUCCUGUUUAGAUUCUGUGCGUUUGUCUCCCCAAUGGAUGAUCUAACUUUGUGCAGCUGCAAGUUCUGGGGAGCCAGUCUGUUCCAGCAAACGCGACCAGAAGGGCGAGGAAGGAUCUGCACGUAUCACUGCAACUCGCACACAUGAAGUCACAUGAGCCCUCCUGAAGGCAGCAGUUGAGGCACUUUGACAGUUACCACAGCACUGAGGACACCUGGGCUACACAAAGUAAGUAACAGCAGUUAUUGCUAUUGCCUAAGUAGGAGAGAGCAGACAGGACC